AGUGAACGCUGGCGGUAGGCCUAACACAUGCAAGUCGAACGGCAGCACAGUAAGAGCUUGCUCUUACGGGUGGCGAGUGGCGGACGGGUGAGGAAUACAUCGGAAUCUACUUUUUCGUGGGUGAUAACGUAGGGAAACUUACGCUAAUACCGCAUACGACCUACGGGUGAAAGCACGGGAUCUUCGGACCUUGCGCGAUUGAAUGAGCCGCUGUCGGAUUAGCUAGUUGGCGGGGUAAAGGCGCACCAAGGCGACGAUCCGUAGCUGGUCUGAGCGGAUCGUCCGCCACACUGGAUCUGAGACACGGUCGCGACUCCUACGGGAGGCAGCAGUGGGGAAUCUUGGACAAUGGGCGAGAGCCUGAUCCAGCCAUACCGCGUAGGUGAAGAAGGCCUUCGGGUUGUAAAGCCCUUUUGUUGGGAAAGAAAAGCAACAGGUUAAUCCCCCGCUGUUCUGACGGUACCCAAAGAAUAAGCCCCGGCUAACUUCGUG
rnacentral:rRNA from 1 species